GAUGAACGCUGGCGGCGUGCCUAAUACAUGCAAGUCGAGCGAACGGACGAGAAGCUUGCUUCUCUGAUGUUAGCGGCGGACGGGUGAGUAACACGUGGAUAACCUACCUAUAAGACUGGGAUAACUUCGGGAAACCGGGGCUAAUACCGGAUAAUAUUUUGAACCGCAUGGUUCAAAAGUGAAAGACGGUCUUGCUGUCACUUAUAGAUGGAUCCGCGCUGCAUCAGCUAGUUGGUAAGGUAACGGCUUACCAAGGCAACGAUGCAUAGCCGACCUGAGAGGGUGAUCGGCCACACUGGAACUGAGACACGGUCCAGACUCCUACGGGAGGCAGCAGUAGGGAAUCUUCCGCAAUGGGCGAAAGCCUGACGGAGCAACGCCGCGUGAGUGAUGAAGGUCUUCGGAUCGUAAAACUCUGUUAUUAGGGAAGAACAUAUGUGUAAGUAACUGUGCACAUCUUGACGGUACCUAAUCAGAAAGCCACGGCUAACUACGUG
rnacentral:rRNA from 1 species